GGGGCCUUUUCCAUUUCUAGAUCAAGAGUGAUUCCUACUGUCCUGCCUUGUAUGGGAUAGAGGUGAAAUAGCUGUCAGGAUUCCCUCUUCCUCCUUUCCGUCAGAGGCAGUGAGUGGCAAGGAGGAGAUAAAUGGAAUCUGGAGGGAGGCACAGACACAUUUCAGAAAGUUGAGCAACACAAUGUCUCUCUUAGGGAGAACUGAUAGGUCUUCUCAGUCACGGGCAGUUGACCACCUCUGCAUACUCCUUCACACUAUGGGGCCGUAUUUUCAUUUAUGAUUUCUGAGACAAUUCUGCAUAGUAAAUACUUCUCUCUCUCACUCUCUCUCUCUCCUACUACUGAUUUUAUUUUAUCUUAUUUUAUUUUUCUUAUUUGAUAGAACAGAAAGAAUUUGAGAGGGGAGGGGGAAGUAGAGAGGGAGAGAGACAGAGAGACACCUGCAGGACUUGCUUCACUGCCUGUGAAGCUUCCCCCGGUGGGUGGGGAGCGGGGGCUUGAACCCAGGUCCUUGUGCACUGUAAUAUGCUUGCUUAAGCAGGUAUGCUAAUAUCUGGCUCAGAGCUUUUCCUUGUGCUGAGUGCAUUAGAAGGAAAAUGAGCACAAGACUCUGGGGGCUGAAUGGAGUGUCUUCUUUAUGAAGAAAUCUACAAGAGUCAGUCAUCUCCUCCUACGUUCAACCCUCCCUGAUGUUGUGAUCUUUAGCUGAUACUUAUCGGCAGAUUCGUUCUGGAUGCACCUUGUAGCUCAUAUAGAAUUAUCGUUGAACAAGACUCACUGCGGACUCCUUAUUCUCCAGAUGUCAGUCCUCCUGGGAAACUGUCUCUCUAUCAGAUGAAUCCUAAAUUGCUAUCUGAAAGACUAUAUGUUAAUGUCUUGGUCUUUAUUAACUUUGUGCUGGCCAAAUUUGCUCUCUUUAUAUGUCUUGCAUUUUAAUUGGCACAGUUACUUCAGUUUUCACUCACAAAGAAACACACUAAAAGGUGGAGUAGAAGAGACUACUAAUAGCCAACUCUGCCUGAAAUGUUAUCUCUUAAGUGGGGGGGCCAGAAAGUGAUGGGGGGCAUACAAGAUACUGCUGGAGAAUUUUUGGAAGUUUUGAAGUGGCCGCCUAAUAGACCAGGCCGGGUUCUGAUAAACAAGUGUGGUUGACAACAGGAGAUUUAAAAAUGAUCAGCUGUUAAAAUGACUAAAACUCAAGGGGACUUGAAGGGACAAGUUUCACUCUUAAACUUUACGUGUGAACUGUUAACAGUAGAUGAGCAUGAAGAAAUGUCUGCAUUAACACAAGUCUGCCUACUGCAUGAUAAAUUUGUAACUACACAGCACUUGGUAGGCUUUGAAUUGAAAUAAAAAAUUACUUCCUUUA